ACCAUUUUUUUCUUAGGGUUGUGUUACUAUCCAAUGAACAUCUAGUGAGGACAGUACUGCUAAUGCCUAAAAAAAAUAAAAUCAAAUCAAAGGGGACAUCUGUAAUACUUUCAACA
rnacentral:snRNA from 1 species